UACGGAGGAUCCGAGCGUUAUCCGGAUUUAUUGGGUUUAAAGGGUGCUCAGGCGGGCCAUUAAGUCGGCGGUGAAAUUUUGCGGCUCAACCGUAAAAGUGCCUUCGAUACUGGUGGUCUUGAGUGUGGAUGAGGUAGGCGGAAUUUGUGGUGUAGCGGCGAAAUGCAUAGAUAUCACGAGGAACUCCGAUUGCUAAGGCAGCUUACUAAGCCAUAACUGACGCUCAAGCACGAAGGCGUGGGGAUCAAACAGGAUUAGAUACCCGGGUAGU
rnacentral:rRNA from 1 species